UGAUAACAUAAGGGAAAAUAAUGAUAUUACCUUAUUAUUAGUGUCGUCCAAAACUGGUGCCAGAAGACUCGGUAAGGCCAGAGACACAAACGUUAAUCGUCUUAAUCAGGCGUAAAGGGUUUGUAGGCGGCUUUAAAAUUUACUUAAAAAAUAAAUAAUAAGUAAAGAAUAAAAGCUAGAAUCAAAUAGAGGAUAUAUGAAAUAAUGUUUAGAGUAGGUCUGAUAUCCUUAGAUACUAAGUAGAAUAUUAAAGGCGAAAGCUUUUUUCCAUUAAUGAUUGACGCUCAGAAACGAAGGUGAGGAUAGGAAAUAGGAUUAGAUACCCAGAAUACUCCUCUCUGUCAACGAUGAAUGGUAAUUAUUAGUACAAAUUAUUAAUAAUAAUGUUAACACGAUAACCAUUCCGCCUUGUGAGUACAACUGCAAAGUUGAAAACAAAAAAAUUAGUCGGUUUCGGAGCAAACGAAGUGAAGCAUGUUAUUUAA
rnacentral:rRNA from 1 species